CUAUACCCUGAAAAGCCUCAGCUACAGAGAGCUGCUAAUUCCAGGGUUCAGGGAAAAAGCAACAGCCUUGUUCAAGCCAAAGCAGGAACUCUUUCUUUGGGUGGGCUCUUCCCUAGGUCCCUGGACUGGAUGCUGGGUUCCCUGGAGCACUUUUAAGCAAACCAGACUGCUCGGGCAAAGUUUUGAAAAACCGUUUUGAAAGGCUGGGCCACAGCAUGUCUUACCUAGACCUGCUAUGGACUCAUGAUUGAAAAUUGCUGACUUCCACAGUGCAGCCAGCUGAUUCAUGCUGUAUUCUGAAGGUUAUGAGUCUCCAUGUGAUAUUAAGAACUGUACGUCUGAACCA